rnacentral:rRNA from 1 species
AGUGAACGCUGGCGGUAGGCCUAACACAUGCAAGUCGAACGGCAGCACAGUAAGAGCUUGCUCUUACGGGUGUCGAGUGGCGGACGGGUGAGGAAUACAUCGGAAUCUACUUUUUCGUUGGGGAUAACGUAGGGAAACUUACGCUAAUACCGCAUACGACCUACGGGUGAAAGCAGGGGAUCUUCGGACCUUUCGCGAUUGAAUGAGCCGAUGUCGGAUUAGCUAGUUGGCGGGGUAAAGGCCCACCAAGGCGACGAUCCGUAGCUGGUCUGAGAGGAUGAUCAGCCACACUGGAACUGAGACACGGCACAGACUCCUACGGGAGGCAGCAGUGGGGAAUAUUGGACAAUGGGCGCAAGCCUGAUCCAGCCAUACCGCGUGGGUGAAGAAGGACUUCGGGUUGUAAAGCCCUUUUGUUGGGAAAGAAGAGCAGCAGGUUAAUACCCCGCUGUUCUGACGGUACCAAAAGAAUAAGCACCGGCUAACUUCGUG